rnacentral:rRNA from 1 species
CCUACGGGGGGCUGCAGUGGGGAAUAUUGGACAAUGGGGGGAACCCUGAUCCAGCCAUACCGCGUGUGUGAAGAAGGCCCUCGGGUUGUAAAGCACUUUCAGUGAGGAAGAACGCCUGGUGGUUAAUACCCAUCAGGAAAGACAUCACUCACAGAAGAAGCACCGGCUAACUCCGUGCCAGCAGCCGCGGUAAUACGGAGGGUGCGAGCGUUAAUCGGAAUUACUGGGCGUAAAGCGCGCGUAGGUGGCUUGAUAAGCCGGUUGUGAAAGCCCCGGGCUCAACCUGGGAACGGCAUCCGGAACUGUCAAGCUAGAGUGCAGGAGAGGAAGGUAGAAUUCCCGGUGUAGCGGUGAAAUGCGUAGAGAUCGGGAGGAAUACCAGUGGCGAAGGCGGCCUUCUGGACUGACACUGACACUGAGGUGCGAAAGCGUGGGUAGAAAACAGGAUUAGAUACCCUUGUAGUC